GAGAGCCUCUGGUACUCACUACACUCUGGCACUGCCUUGGAGAUAUUUAAGGCCAUAGCAGCUCACUCCUGCUCAAGCUCAGGGCUGUAGUUCAUGGCCAGCGUGCUCUUCGAGAAAAUGAGCGUGCAGAGGCCUUUUCACUGGAUCAGCCUCUGCCCCAAACUGUGCAGCAUGCUCGAGAAAACAGCAAGUCAGCCAAUAACCAAUCUAUUGAGAAGAAUUUUCUGCAUCCCAGACCCUCAAGGACCAGAAGGGUGGAGGAAGUUAAGAUGUGGUUUUGGUCGCAGAGGUCACCUUCUUUAGCAGUACAGCCUGUAAUACUCAUAAAGCAGCCACAAAUCAACUGUGCUGGGCUUUGUGCUGGAUGCUUUCAUAAAGGGCCCUUCAUUUUGUUCAGUGAUUUUUAUGUGUCUAGCAUGUACUAAGCACGUUUUAUACCUAAUCUCAUUUCAUUCUCUGGGCAUGUUUUCCCCUUUUUAUAGGCCAAGGGUCACAUGAUUCCCCUGAAGUUACCCUGUUGGUGAAUAACAGAGCGGGGUCCCACAUUUUCUGAUAAGGCCCAUGGGUAUCUGUGGGAUGCCAGGCUGCCAGUCUGUACAGGGCGUGAGCACCUUCUGAUAAGCCACACUGUGGGUGGGGACAGGGGCAAGAGGCUCCUUCAGGACAGGUGGGAGCUGGAGGGUCUCAGAGGGGCCUGGCCUCCGUCUCUGUGGUCAGGUGCUUUGUUAGUCUGGGAAUAAGUGGGAGGUGUCGGUCGGUCUGUCUGGAAAGCUGGCUCUGGCAAACCCCAGUGGUAGCACCGACUGGCAAGGGGAGCUCUGUUGUGGAUGGGUUGGGAGAAGACAAUUCCUAGGGAGAGUGAGCGGUAGGGAGGCACCCCGCACCCUAACCCUGGUGGCUCAGCUCCGUGGCCAGUCUGGCUCCUGCAGCACCCUCUGCCUGGCGAGGAGGUGAAAAGGGCCACAUUGCGGGCCACUCAGGGACCCCCCGUACUCUCCCCUGGGGCAAGGGUAAGAAGAUCAGUGUCCUGGUUUGCUUUUUCUCCCUCGAGUCUCCACUCCCCUCUCUCUUUCCUGUCUCUGUUUACAUCUUUCUUUCUUCAUCCGUCUGUCCACCCAUCUAACCAUCCGCCCGCCAUCCAUCCAUCCAUCUGUCCCUCCAUCAAUCCAUGUCUCUAUCUCUGGAUCUGCUCAUCCCAGUCAUAGUACAGAGGUAUUUAGGGUGAGGAAAACUCCCCGAGGGCUUAAUUUUCCUGUAGCUGGCUCUGGUCAUGGCCAAACCGUUGAAUUUCCUGAGUCAGGGCUCAGUCUUUCCAUCUGUGAACCAGUAGAGUUGGCCAGGAAAACCCCAUGGGCCCAUUUGAACUCUGGUCCUGAAUAAUAGAGAUUCCAGGUCCUUUUCCAGUCCAUCAGCCUAUUUUGUAGCCACAGCUGGACCUUGAGGGCACUGGGGAAGCUGGGAGCCCCGAGGCCCCUUGUGCCUGGUGCCUGGAUGAUUUGUGAGGCCCUCAAAGAGAGCGGCAGGACUGGGGUUUCCCGAGCUGUAGGCGCGCUCUGACAGUCAGAGCUGUAGGCGCGCUCUGACAUCUGCUAUUUCUCACUCCAGUGAGACUGAUUGGCUCCAGAUGGGCCCCUGCAGACUGUCUCCAGCUGUGCAUUUCAUCCAGAGGCCCCUAAGAGAGAGCAGGACACGUGCUGACUGCCAAAGCUGGAGGCCAG
ensembl:lincRNA